UAGAGUUCUGGAAAAUCAUCAGUACUUGAAAGCAUUGUUGGAAAGGACUUUUUGCCUCGUGGAUCUGGCAUUGUUACUUGACGUCCCAUUGUCCUACAGCUUCAUCGCAUUGAUGAAGGUAGAGAAUAUGCUGAAUUUGGACAUUCCAAGAAAAAGCUGCUGUGAAAAAAGAGAUCUCUGAUGAGACUGAUUGAGAAACAGGACAUGGCAAACAAAUUUAUAGUGUUCCAAUAUAUCUCAGUAUUUAUUCCCCUA